UACGGAGGGAGCUAGCGUUGUUCGGAAUUACUGGGCGUAAAGCGCACGUAGGCGGCUUUUUAAGUCAGGGUGAAAUCCCGGGGCUCAACCCCGGAACUGCCCUUGAAACUGGAGAGCUAGAAUCUUGGAGAGGCGAGUGGAAUUCCGAGUGUAGAGGUGAAAUUCGUAGAUAUUCGGAAGAACACCAGUGGCGAAGGCGGCUCACUGGACUGGUAUUGACGCUGAGGUGCGAAAGCGUGGGGAGCAAACAGGG
rnacentral:rRNA from 1 species